AGAAUAAUUGGGAGGAGUCUGGCAGGAAGGAAGCCAAGCUUCCUGAGGCCCUCAUCAGAAGCAGAUGCUGGCACCAUGCUUCUUGUGCUGUCUGCAUAACUAAGCAGUAUUUCAAGCAUCCAAAAUGUGUAGGAGAAUAUGGACCCAAGGACGGAGCAGAGAGACAAAUAGAGGAACGGAAAAUUUUGCCUACAACCAUGAUGUUCUCAAGGUUAGCUGACUGUGUUCUAAAAUCCACUCAAAUUCCCAUUUUGGGAGUUGCUAUGUGACAAAGGUCUGCCCCUGCAGUGUUGGGACAACUUGCUCAUGGAGUUACAGUUCUUGCCUAACAGGAACCCACCAUGAGCUGCCUCCUGCCCCUGAGGGGAGAAGUCCAUCCUCUUCUAUAGGAUACACCUGUUGGCUUGUUUGUCCAUCCUUCCCCUUUCUGGGAAUCGUUCUCCAUCAACAUAUUUAUGGGGACAGCCAUUUCUAUACAAUGUGACCUGUAUUGAUCUAUUUUGUGUUUCUAUAAAUAAAUACCUGAGCCUGGUAAUUUUUAAAGAGGUUAAUUUGGCCCAUAAUUCUGCAGGCUGUACAAGAAGCAUGGCACCAGCAUCUGCUUCUGGUGAGGCCGCAGGAAGCUUCCACUCAUGGUGGAAGGUAGAGGAGGAGCAGGCAUGUUAUAUGGCA
rnacentral:lncRNA from 1 species